UCCAGACACUUGUGUGUGUGGUUUAGAAAAUUAACUCAAUCAUAUUGAGAUCGAAAGAAAUCUUCAUUGAAUCUUGUUUAAAGUAUUUUAUAAAAAUCUUAAGAUGUUCAUUGCAUCCAAGAUUUUGACUCGUACCUCGAUGGCAAAUCGUCAAUUUGUAAGAAAUUAUGACGCUGCCAAAUGUGGAAUGCCUCGUAAUUUCAUUCCUUGGUCUGAACGAGUUAUUCACGGGAUUGUUAUAGCAUGUGGAAUAUUAGCUACUCCAGCUUACAUCGCAACAAACAUUAAACAUUACCGUGGUGAUCCUGAAUAAAAUAUGCAGCUUACAUCUAUCAUUCCAAUUAAAAAUAUAUUUAUAAUGUUUAUUUAAAGAGGUAGUGUUGUUUAUCAUCAGCCAUUACUGGCUUUCUUUAAACAAAAUGUAACUAUAUUACCAAAUAAAAUAUAAUAGAAAACUA